GAGGGUAUAGCUCAGUGAUAGAGUGCAUGCUUAGCAUGCAUGAGGUCUUGGGUUCAAUCCCCAGUACUUACA
rnacentral:tRNA from 1 species